CUUUUAUUUAUUUGCCUCUGUUCUUUUUAUUUAAUUAUGUCCCUUUACACCGAAGAGUUAGAAACAUGUUUUUCUACCUGCUGCAAGGGGUUAUAUGAAAGACCAGUAUUAAGCCAAAAUUCCAAAAAAGGAAUUAUCCAGGCUGAUGUGUCAAUAGUGCCGCUAUUGGGAAACCCUGCAGUUAAGUAAGAGUGGGCCUUGUCAGAUAUAAUAAGUUAGCUGUAUAGGUAAUUUAUUGGCCUCUUAACACAUCGGAAAGUUGAAAUUUGCUUGAAUUUCACCGUGUAAAAUCAGGUAGAAAUGUCAGAAUGAGUUAAUGAAUGAAUCUAAAAUACCACUAGCAACUAGAUUUAGUAAAUGUUCCUAGGGAGAAUUAUUUAUUGACCAGGGUAACAUAUUAUUUUCUUUUUACAUAGGCAUUUCUCAACAGUGAUCCUUCGUUUCAUAAAGAGAAGAGAAUGGAGCAGUUCAGACAUAGUAUUCCUAGAUACUAUCUCUGUAACCUUUGAGGCUCACUUCCUCAUUUGAAAUAUGAAGACUGCUGAAACAACGAAACGAGCUAUUGUGAAAUAAGUCAAUUACAAUCAAAUAUGAAGAGUCAACUAUUAGAAACGUUUUUAAAAUCCUAGCUUACUAAAACAAACUGCAACAAAGAAAGAAGAAAAUAAAGAAAGAAGGAAAGAAGAAGGAACGAAGAAAGGAAGGAAGACAUAAAGCCUGAUUCAAAGUGAUUUUAUAAAAAGUAACAAGUUUUUAUUAAUGUAAAUAUUAAUUUGUGAAAAUUACGUUAAUGAAGACCCCCCCACCGUGUAUUUUUAAGUGAAAAUCUUCUAAACACUUAUUUGCGUUUUUCUUCCUCUAUGUAAUGCAACGUAAAUUAAAACAGAUGGUUUCAGAAAUGCAUUCUCAAAGUUGAAUAGCUACGGAUAUGAACAGGAAAGACAGAGUUAUAUUAGAACUACAAUGUUACAUCUCUAACCCCUUUUUAUCCAUAGUAUAUAAACUUUAUCAACUUCAUUACAGAGCUCUAUAAGGAUACCAUUGAUAUAUUCUGUUUUCCUGUAACUCUGGAAUCUGAAGUCCAGAACCUUGAGGAAUCUUCUUCCUGCACUCUAUGUCUCUUGUAUACACAGCCUUAUUGAAUUUCCCUGUUUGGCCCCAACCUCUUAUCAGCUAAAAAAAAUAAUAACAGUAGUUUAUACUGUCCCCAGUUGAUCAGAAAGAAAGUUUUGCCACACUGGAAACAAUGGUGAAAAAUACAUAAGAAUAGAGGUGACUGUAAAAGACCUAACGCCAAAAAGUACCAAGUGAAAAAGCAAAACCAGUGACCAAAAGUCAAUAUGAAGGGACCAUGAAUUCAGCAUCAGUGAGAAUGAAAUACUUAAUCUGUACAUCCUCUCCCCUUGUGAUGUUAAAAUAUCAUUGAUAUAACUAGUUAAGCUUGGACCAUUGAAAGCAGGUAUAUAGCUCUACUUCCUUCCAAAGCUCUACUAAAAUAAGUGUAAUGAAUUAUAACCAGAAGAUAAAACGAAUAGGGUUGAAAAUAACCGAGGAAAGAUAUUGGUGUAUUUUUUGAAGAUGAAAAUCA